rnacentral:rRNA from 1 species
GAUGAACGCUGGCGGCGUGCCUAAUACAUGCAAGUCUAGCGAACGGACGAGAAGCUUGCUUCUCUGAUGUUAGCGGCGGACGGGUGAGUAACACGUGGAUAACCUACCUAUAAGACUGGGAUAACUUCGGGAAACCGGAGCUAAUACCGGAUAAUAUUUUGAACCGCAUGGUUCAAAAGUGAAAGACGGUCUUGCUGUCACUUAUAGAUGGAUCCGCGCUGCAUUAGCUAGUUGGUAAGGUAUCGGCUUACCAAGGCAACGAUGCAUAGCCGACCUGAGAGGGUGAUCGGCCACACUGGAACUGAGACACGGUCCAGACUCCUACGGGAGGCAGCAGUAGGGAAUCUUCCGCAAUGGGCGAAAGCCUGACGGAGCAACGCCGCGUGAGUGAUGAAGGUCUUCGGAUCGUAAAACUCUGUUAUUAGGGAAGAACAUAUGUGUAAGUAACUGUGCACAUCUUGACGGUACCUAAUCAGAAAGCCACGGCUAACUACGUG